rnacentral:tRNA from 1 species
UCCGAUGUAGUGUAACGNCUAUCACAUCACGCUUUCACCGUGGAGACCGGGGUUCGACUCCCCGUAUCGGA